AUUGAACGCUGGCGGCAGGCCUAACACAUGCAAGUCGAGCGGAUGAAGGGAGCUUGCUCCUGGAUUCAGCGGCGGACGGGUGAGUAAUGCCUAGGAAUCUGCCUGGUAGUGGGGGAUAACGUCCGGAAACGGGCGCUAAUACCGCAUACGUCCUGAGGUAGAAAGUGGGGGAUCUUCGGACCUCACGCUAUCAUAUGAGCCUAGGUCGGAUUAGCUAGUUGGUUGGGUAAAGGCCUACCAAGGCGACGAUCCGUAACUGGUCUGAGAGGAUGAUCAGUCACACUGGAACUGAGACACGGUCCAGACUCCUACGGGAGGCAGCAGUGGGGAAUAUUGGACAAUGGGCGAAAGCCUGAUCCAGCAAUGCCGCGUGUGUGAAGAAGGUCUUCGGAUUGUAAAGCACUUUAAGUUGGGAGGAAGGGAAGUAAGUUAAUACCUUGCUGUUUUGACGUUAACAACAGAAUAAGCACCGGCUAACUUCGUG
rnacentral:rRNA from 1 species